rnacentral:snRNA from 1 species
GCACGCUUUGGUGGUACAUAUACUAAAAUUGGAACGAUACAGAGAUUAGCAUAGCCCCUGCGCAGGGAUGACACGCAAAAUCGUGAAGCGUUCCAUAUUUUU